AGCGAACGUUAGCGGCGGGCUUAACACAUGCAAGUCGAGCGAGAACGGGGCAACCCUAGUACAGCGGCGGACGGGUGAGUAACACGUAGGUAACUUUCCCUUGAGCGGGGGACAACGGUCCGAAAGGACCGCUAAUACCGCAUACGUUCUUCUGGUCUUCGGAUUGGGAGAGGAAAGCUAGGCAGCAAUGUCCGGCACUCAAGGCGAGGCCUGCGUCGCAUCAGCUAGUUGGUGGGGUAAUGGCCUACCAAGGCUAAGACGCGUAGCUGGUCUGAGAGGAUGAUCAGCCACACUGGGACUGAGACACGGCCCAGACUCCUACGGGAGGCAGCAGUGGGGAAUAUUGGACAAUGGGCGCAAGCCUGAUCCAGCCACGCCGCGUGAGUGAUGAAGGCCUUCGGGUCGUAAAGCUCUGUGGGGAGGGACGAACCGCUAUUGGUGCAUAGCCAGCAGCAUGACGGUACCUCCUUAGCAAGCACCGGCUAACUUCGUG
rnacentral:rRNA from 1 species